GGCGCCGUGGCUUAGUUGGUUAAAGCGCCUGUCUAGUAUACAGGCGAUGGCGAGUACGAAUCUCGCCGGUGCCU